rnacentral:rRNA from 1 species
UACGGAGGGGGCAAGCGUUGUCCGGAAUCAUUGGGCGUAAAGCGCGUGUAGGCGGCUUUGUAAGUCCGCUCUGAAAGCCCGGGGCUCAACCCCGGGAGGCGGGUGGAUACUGCUGAGCUCGAGUCCGGAAGAGGCGAGUGGAAUUCCUGGUGUAGCGGUGAAAUGCGCAGAUAUCAGGAGGAACACCGAUGGCGAAGGCAGCUCGCUGGGAAGGUACUGACGCUGAGACGCGAAAGCGUGGGGAGCAAACAGG